rnacentral:lncRNA from 1 species
UAAGCAUAAGACAGAAGCAAAAAAACGGCAGCCCUUCCAGGUCCCCUUCCACCACGUGGAAGCUUUACUUUUGCUUUCAUUUUACUUUCGCUUUUGCUCUAAUAAAUCUUGCCACCGCACCCUCUUUGGGUCCGCGGGUUUCUCUAAUCUAGCUGUAACACUCGCCACUGCGGCCCACGGCUUCAUUCCUGGAAGCCCGUGAGACCAGGAACCCUUCGAUCGAGAAAAGACCUUCCAUUGGGAGAAGACUUCUCGUCUUAUUUCCACCUAUAAUCUCUUCAAAACAUAGCAGUCAGAGUUACCUGCUGAACUCAUAAGUCACUCAUCUGCUCAAAGCCUCCCAGUGGCUUCUCAUCUCACAGAAUCCAAGUCGACCUUCCUGGAGCCUCUAUCCACUACUUGUUUUGCUCAACAAGAACACACAUCGUGUUGACUCCAUCUUUUAUAUGAUGCCUCACCACAAUGUUCCAUUGGCCAGUGCAAGAGAAACCAGGAUGCUUCCUCAUACUGCACAUCUUUAUCUGAGAACCAAAGGACAAAUAUGGGUGUCACAUGCCAGCUCCUUCUACCUCCUUCUGAAACCAGAGGACUGGAUUGGAACCAACAGAGAUCAUGCUGUUUACUUCACAGAUUUCAAGAAAAGUGAAUUCUGAGUAAUCAUUUUUUUUUAGAUCUUCCUAUGUGUAAAAAUCUUUGGUGAGAUUUACCAUCUCAUUUAAAGUUCUUUCACAAUUUUUGUGAAAAUUGAGUGAUGUGUAAUAAAUAAGUUAUUUUUUUUCUUUAUAGCUGAUGCUUGACCUUUUUUCCCUUGGU